UACGUAGGGGGCGAGCGUUGUCCGGAUUUAUUGGGCGUAAAGAGCGUGUAGGCGGCCAGGUAGGUCUGCUGUGAAAACUCGAGGCUCAACCUCGAGACGUCGGCGGAAACCAUCUGGCUAGAGUCCGGAAGAGGAGAGUGGAAUUCCUGGUGUAGCGGUGAAAUGCGUAGAGAUCAGGAGGAACACCGGUGGCGAAGGCGGCCUACUGGGCCAGCACUGACGCUGAGGCGCGAAAGCUCGGGGAGCGAACGGG
rnacentral:rRNA from 1 species